rnacentral:rRNA from 1 species
UACGAAGGGAGCUAGCGUUGUUCGGAAUCACUGGGCGUAAAGCGCACGUAGGCGGAUGUGUCAGUCAGGGGUGAAAUCCCGGAGCUCAACUUCGGAACUGCCUUUGAUACAGCACGUCUUGAGUCCGGAAGAGGUGGGUGGAAUUCCUAGUGUAGAGGUGAAAUUCGCAGAUAUCAGGAGGAACACCCGUGGCGAAAGCGGCUCUCUGGGACGGUACUGACGCUGAGACGCGAAAGCGUGGGGAGCAAACAGG